rnacentral:rRNA from 1 species
AGCCAAUCCCAGCAAAGCCGGUCUCAGUUCGGAUUGCAGGCUGCAACUCGCCUGCAUGAAGUCGGAAUUGCUAGUAAUCGCGGAUCAGCAUGCCGCGGUGAAUACGUUCCCGGGUCUUGUACACACCGCCCGUCACACCACGAGAGUUUACAACACCCGAAGUCGGUGGGGUAACCCGCAAGGGGGCCAGCCGCCGAAGGUGGGGUAGAUGAUUGGGGUGAAGUCGUAACAAGGUAGCCGUAUCGGAAGGUGCGGCUGGAUCACCUCCUUUCUAUGGAGA